rnacentral:misc_RNA from 1 species
AAGUCGUAACAAGGUUUCCGUAGGUGAACCUGCGGAAGGAUCAUUAGAAAGUCCGCCUGGCGAUGCCCCGCGAGGGGCACCGCCGGCCUACCUUCAAACCACUGUGAAACGAACCGUUGCUUCGCGGCUUGGCCGGCCAUGCCCCUCGCGGGGCACCGCCCGGCCCUGUCAGUCCGCAGAGGCCCAAGACACAAACCAUUUCUGUAACAGUCUGUCUGAAACAAAUGAAUUAAAAUUCGUUAAAA